GAUGAAGAACGUAGCGAAAUGCGAUAAGUAAUGUGAAUUGCAGAAUUCAGUGAAUCAUCGAAUCUUUGAACGCACAUUGCGCUCUCUGGUAUUCCGGAGAGCAUGCUUGUUUGAGUAUCAGUAAACACCUCAACUCCCCUUUCUUUUUUUGAAAUGGGAGCUGGACUUGAGUGAUCCCAACGCUUUUCUCACCGAAAAGUGGCGGGUUACUUGAAAUGCAGGUGCAGCUGGACUUUUCUCUGAGCUAAAAGCAUAUCUAUUUAGUCUGCCUAAAAAACAGAUUAUUACCUUUGCUGCAGCUAACAUAAAGGAGAUUAGUUCUUGUGCUGACUGAUGCAGGAUUCACAGAGACAGCUUCGGCUGGCCUUUGUAAACUCGAUCUCAAAUCAAGUAAGACUACCCGCUGAACUUAAGCAUAUCAAUAAGCGGAGGA
rnacentral:misc_RNA from 1 species